rnacentral:rRNA from 1 species
CAUUAACGAAGCUAGCGCUCGCGCGCAACGCU